GUGUAAUUGUAAGCACGCCAGACCGGAUAUCUGUAAGUGCGGGUACGAGUCCCGCCUGAGGUU
rnacentral:tRNA from 1 species